UUGAGUAUGAGGUUUGACCUGUGGAAACACUCAGCAUUCAAGGUGUUUGUCAAGAAAUUGAAUUUGAAGACUACAUUCCAUAACAGACAAAACAAGAAAUUAUAUGAAGCUAAAUUUAGGAAGCUAUAUGGCCACAGGAGGAAAAAUAAGCACAAUUUAAACAAAGGUAAGUGGCACAUUAAUAUAAAGUUAAAUAACAACAAGGACAUUAGAAUAAUGAAACCUGACAAGAGUAUUAUUGCUGUACUAAUGAAGAUUGUGAAUUAUUCAGAAAUUAUGUUAACUCUGUUAAAGAAUGCUGAUCAAUAUGAGCAUGUGUCUAAAAUUACAUAAAUAAUACCUUUAUCACAAUAUAUUUGAUGAUUUUAUGUUACAAGGAUUAUUAGAUUUUGGCCAACUUAGGUUUCUCAUGCUGAAAAAAUGGUUACAGUGAUUUUUGGCAUUAUAAAAAAAUGCAUAAAUCUUUAAGCAAACUUCUACUUAAAUGCAGUAUUUCCCUUGAUAGGUCCCCAAAGCAGAGUGACUGGCAGCUUAAAUUGAUUUUAAACUUAAAAAAAAUUUUAACAAUAAAAACUAUGGCUCAUGA